GGGCGGGGCGCCGAGCAGGGCGCCGAGCCUCCGGGAGCGUCCAAGUCGCCGCCGCCACAGCCGCCGCCGCCGCCGGGGGCUUGGCGCGCCCCGCCACCCCGGGCCGCUGGGUGCCGCGGCCGCCGGCGGAACAUGGCGCCCUGUACGCUGUGGCGCUGCUGCCAGCGCAGCGUGGGCUGGGUGCCGGUGCUCUUCAUCACCUUCGUGGUCGUGUGGUCCUACUACGCGUACGUGGUGGAGCUCUGCGUGUUUACUCUUUCCGGAAAUGGAGAAAACGGAAAGGCCGUUGUUUACCUUGUGGCUUUCCAUCUGUUCUUUGUUAUGUUUGUAUGGUCCUAUUGGAUGACAAUUUUCACAUCUCCCGCUUCCCCCUCCAAAGAGUUCUACUUGUCCAGUUCCGAGAAGGAACGUUACGAGAAGGAGUUCAGCCAGGAAAGACAACAGGAGAUUCUGAGAAGAGCGGCGAGGGGCUUGCCUGUCUACACCACGUCGGCGACACAGACCAUCAGAUACUGUGAGAGAUGUCAGCUGAUUAAGCCCGACCGCGCGCAUCACUGCUCAGCAUGUGACAUAUGUGUUCUUAAGAUGGAUCAUCACUGUCCUUGGGUGAACAACUGUGUGGGAUUUUCUAAUUACAAAUUCUUCCUGCUGUUUUUACUGUACUCUCUACUGUACUGCCUUUUUGUGGCUACAACAGUUUUACAGUACUUUAUAAAAUUUUGGACGAAUGAACUCUCAGAUACACGUGCAAAAUUCCACGUACUUUUUCUGUUCUUUGUGUCUACAAUGUUCUUCAUCAGCGUAUUGUCACUUCUCAGCUACCACUGCUGGCUUGUUGGAAAGAACAGAACAACCAUAGAAUCGUUCCGUGCUCCCACAUUUUCAUAUGGACCUGAUGGAAAUGGCUUCUCUCUUGGAUGCAGUAAAAAUUGGAGACAAGUCUUUGGUGAUGAAAAGAAAUAUUGGCUACUACCAGUAUUUUCAAGUCAGGGGGAUGGCUGCAGUUUUCCGACUCGCCUUGUGGGGACAGAUCCAGAACAAGCUUCCGUUUCAAACCAAAGUGAAAGUGGCAGAAGAUCUAUACUGCAGAGGUAGAAAGCAGAAAACUUGGGAAAUGACAGUAUUGGCUCAAAUCAACCCUUUCCUAUCAAGCCGCUUAGCGAAUCAAAAAACCGCUUGUUGGACAGUGAAUCUCAGUGGCUGGAAGAUGGAGCUGAAGAAGGCGUGGUCAGACCAGGGACAAAUAAUCAUGUUACAGUGGCCGUAGAAAAUUGAGUACCACUUGUUCAUAACUAACCAAUUGACUAAGACCAAGGUUUAUAAAAAAACAUUAUCGACUGAUAUUUUCAGUUUUAUGUGCAAGAAAAUGAUCCAUGGAAUGAAGUGAUUGAAGUAUAACCGAAGAUAUAUUUUUUGAAAAAGGAACCCUUUGUACAGCUUUGCUGGAUCCACAGAAGCACUGCUCAGCGCGGGAAGAUGCCUUAACCCUAAAGGAGCCCAUUUGUUCAGCACUGACUUCAUGGCCACAAACAUGACCUAACUUACUUACCGCUAGGAAUUGCUGUAACAUCAGGUCACACAUUACCAUGGCAUAUGUAUUUUUUGGAUACUUGAGCUACAUUAUUAGAGCUGUUUCUUAGUAUCUGUAUAAAUUUUCACUCCAGAAACACAAGCUAAAAACAUGUCUUGGAGUUGCUGUUAUGGUUCUGUGGAAACGAAUCUGACUAGUAUCCAUGAGGACGCAGCUUCGAUCCUUGGCCUCGAUCAGUGGGUUAAGGAUCCGAUGUUGCCGUGAGCUGUGGAAUAGGUCGCAGACGUGGCUCAGAUCUGGCGUUGCUGUGGCCGUGGCAUAGGCCAGCGGCUACAGCUCAGAUUCGACCCCCAUGUGCCAUGGGUGCAGCCCUAAAAAGACAAAAAAAAAACAAAAACCAACCAACAAACAAGCAUGUCUUAAGUGAACAGCUAGGUCCGUAUGGUGGCUGAAAGGGAAUAAUAAUAAUCAAAUUACUGUUGCCUGUACUGUGUAAGAAAAAGAAAAGAAUUGCUUUUAAAAAAAAAUUGGUGAUUGCUGAUUUAUAGUUACCGUUUUAUACUUUUCAACAUUUUUAAUAAAGAUUUUUUAAUUGUUGGCUAUAAAAUAACACUCAGAAGGGUUUAGAUACCUAAUAUAGUCGUUUAAAACAUGGGACACAUUUGUAUAACUCAUUGAAGGCUUAGAUCUGAGCAUUAAUUAAACUACAUGUGGUGGUGUGCCCAAGGCUUAAAGGAAAUUUGGCAGCAUAAGAAAUUUUUUCUCUUUGCUUAAAAAAACUACUUCUUUUGUGGAAUUUCCAAGGUUACCUAAUACAGUAGGGAAUCGUAGGUUACAUGUGCUAUAGAAAUACUGGACACAGCAGGAUUGCAGGAGUGGCCAGAACAGGACAGAGAGUCAGCCAAGCUCGAGGUCGCACACGUUUUCAGAGCGCUGCCCGCUGCUGAGUCAGCUCUCGCAUUGCAAUCCGAGUCAUGACUGAAGUUUGCUUUGAAACUUUCUGUAGUAAUCUUAUAACAGCUUAAACAGUGACUUAAAAUGCAGUUUGAACUAGGCUAAAACUGUUUAGCACAACACUGCUCUCCAGAAAGCAAUUCUCAUCCGAGUAGUCAUUCAAAGCUUCAGUUUUUUGCGAGAGAGAUUCCACUCUUAAAUGCAGGAUUUUAAACCUCAUCCCUUUCUGCCUUGACAUGUAUCCACUUUUUCCUUUUGAAAUCCAAUCCAGGUGACAGGAAUUGUUGCAUUAACGCUAGAGAAAGGUGGGGUUGGGGGGUGUCUCGGAUGAUCCGGACUGGACGCUGGCUGACUCCCCCUUCUGCAGUUUCUGAUUUUGCACAGUACAUUCAUCCGGCAGACAUUUCGGAGUUCCUUCUGGAUGCCAAACAAUGUACUAGGGAGAGCUCUGUGAUGUCCUAACGUAGCACACCUUUUGCAGCCAGCGAAUCCAGGUUUACAGUUUACAGGGUUUGUGUGCUUCCCUGGGCCGUAUUAACAGUAGAUUUUUGAAGGAAGUAAUGUUUUUCCCUUUGAACUAGAGGAAUGAGGUGGCUUUGAAAAUGUGGUUUGAAACACUGUCGUGCAGCUUCUCUCAUGUCCACUCUGUGGUCCUGUGUGAGAGUUAACGGGUCUCACUUAUCAGCCGAGAAACAUCACAUCGCUGAUAGUUUGCAUAGAUCAUAAAGGCGUCGUAACUGCCAAAUGACUGCCUUCAGAAGUCACUUCUUAGGGACCUUUCUAUAUUCGGGUCAGAGGAUUUGCGUGUAACUGAUCAACAACUGAGCGAACUUUGUUUCCCCUUAACCUGCGCGGGGCUCUUGCGGUGUCCUCCUGUUUCCAGUCCUUUCUGCUCGGCACCGUCAUCCUCCUCACGGCACCGUAAGCACCUGCUCGUUUCUCUUCUUCGUUUAAUUGUUACCAUAAGCACCUUUUGCUAACUUUUCAGCUAAAGCCCUUCACUUUGGCUGCCUUUGCUUUCGUUCUCGGGUGGCCAGCAUUGGCCAGGUUCUGAAAAGCCCUCGACUGAGUCUGCUCGUACGUGUGGAUGACCCCUCGGCGGGACCCACACGUUCCCUGGAACUCGGGGAACGGCGCCUCUUUGGUGUGUGGGCUGUGUUGAUGAGGGCUGUCAGCUCUGGGGAGAAGCGCUCACGGCGACGCCCUGUCGAAUGUGUUGGUACUGUCCUCAUUCCUUCAGAGGCUUGAACGCUGGCAGGGGUAUCUAAGGAAGAGCGAGUUGAAUUUCAGGUCUUGCCAUUGCCAUUAACAACAGGUUAGACAACCGGGCACAGACUCACUUGAAUGUUCAGUACCUGAGGCGUCUGACCACGGUCACUGUGCCAAACCAAAGAGCAGCUGCAGCUCAGUGGUCACUAAACAUUCACUGCUUACCGAGUUUAGCUUUGUCUUUGCAUGUGGGUGAUUUUUUUUUUUUAAUCCUUAUACAUAUUUAGUGGUGAUGAUCCAGUGUAUCAUAAGUUAAUUUAACUCUAAGUUCAGUUUAAAUCAAAUAGGCAGUGUUUACUUGAAUUUUAUUUCUAUUAGAAAGCAGAUUUUGACUGUAGGAUUGUUUAAAUUACAGGUUUUCAGCUAUGUCAUCUCUAAAGCAGAUGCAUAUUAAAGGGCUAAGUAUUAGGAUCUGCAUAAUUGGGGCACUGAAAAGACAAAUGACUUACAAAUAUGUUUUGCUAAUAUUUUGUUCUAGGACUAGUACCGCUGUCAGUGGAAAGUAUUUUUAACUAAUCUAUUAUUGAGAAAUUAAUUCUAUUUUUGCACUUCAGCCCAAAUAAAGACCAUAUCUAAUAUUCUGUAAGAUACAGCUAGUGUGUAAACCUGAAAUUCAUGUGUUUCAUAUGAUCUGAACUGUAUUUUCCAGCUUAAAUUAAAAAUGCCGUAUAGAUUCAGAAAGUUUCGUAUUUUUCUAAUGACUUCACUUUAUAUUAUUUUGUUGCAUUGCAUAAAGAAGUAAGGAAUUGUAUUUGUAUUAAAAGCUUCUGAAAGGUAUUAGUUGAGUCUGUUGUAUUUGUACACAAUUGCAGAUGGGUCUAUGCCUCUUAAAGGAAAGACGGACACUAUUUUAAAGUGAUCUUUAAUAUGUUUUUAUAUAAACAAAUUUGAAAGAGUUUGGUUGUCUUCACUUACCCAGUCCCACAGUAAGUCUUGUUUUUGUCUAAGUGUAACCCUGGACCAUGACUUCAUGUUACCUUUGCUUUGUCGUUUGGGUGGCUAACCUACAUUAACAUGAAGGCUGAACAUUUUUAAAUGUUUUUUUUUUUUUUUUCAAAAAUCGUAAUAGUGAUUUACUUGAUUAAUAAAUAAAGUCCUGUAUUUGAACUGUU